rnacentral:rRNA from 1 species
UACCAGCACCCCGAGUGGUCGGGACGUUUAUUGGGCGUAAAGAGCUCGUAGGCGGUUUGUCGCGUCGAAUGUGAAAACCCGGGGCUCAACCCCGGGCCUGCAUUCGAUACGGGCAGACUAGAGUUCGGUAGGGGAGUCUGGAAUUCCUGGUGUAGCGGUGAAAUGCGCAGAUAUCAGGAGGAACACCGGUGGCGAAGGCGGGACUCUGGGCCGAUACUGACGCUGAGGAGCGAAAGCGUGGGGAGCAAACAGG